UUUCUUAGCAACCAAACUCCUGUCUUCUGGGCUGUGCAUGAUUAACUAAAACAGCCUGUUGACGGCUUAAAAUAAACCUGCCUUUUCCAUUUAGCAUUUUAUCAAAUGAAUAUAAUUUCAUUUGCUGAUGAAUUUAGUUCAGCUUCAAGAGAAUUUUUCUUUUCUUCAUGGGGAGGCUGAAGAAUCAGAACUGUCAUACCAAAGAAUGAAAAGCAAGCCUAGAGAGAACAAGACAGUCUGAUGUUGACAUGGAGUUUUGCUCUCGUUGCCUAGGCUGGAGUGCAAUGGCAGCGAUCUCAGCCACUACAACCUCCACCUCCCGGGUUCAAGCAAUUCUCCUGCCUCAGCCUCCCGAGUAGCUGGGAUUACACGCGCCCAUCACCACGUCCGGCUAAUUUUUUCUAUUUUUAGUAGAGACGGGGUUUCACCAUGUUAGCCACGCUAGUUGCUAACUCCUGACCUCAGGUGAUCCACCUACCUUGGCCUCCCAAAAUGCUGGGAUUACAGGCGUGAGCCACCGCGCCUGGCAAGAACUGACAUUUCAACCAAGUUCCCAGAGGGCAUGGCUGCAGCUCUGGAGGUCACACUUUGAGAACUAUUGCCUAACAUAUAAAACCACAGUCGGGGCUCCUGAUUUGUAUCUAUUACCCUCCAUGGAAAUGGCUGGUGAAGCAAAACUAUGUGUGUAAAACUGCAUCUGCCACAGGCUGCUUGUCCACAAAAGCAGUAAAGCAUCUCUAUGGAAUACCUCCAUAUGGAUCUGUAAAGAAGAGUCCCACUUCAAUCAAAGACAGCAGAUUAUGAGUUGGUAUGUAUUUCUACUAUUCCUUGCAUUUGGCAUGAAAUCUUACACCCAGUCACUGAGACACAAAGAGUGCAGGAGAACAAGGAGAGGAAUUACAAUGUACCCAACCUUCUGCGGGCUAUGACAGAGAGCAACUGUCCUUGCAAACAAAGAAAUGUCUUCUGAACUCAACGUAAUAUUCUAACAGAAUUGUAGAUUAAAGAAGACUGAAGAGAUAUGAACACUAAAUGCAAUUCAUGAUCUUAUACCAGAGGGAAGAAAAUUCUAUCAAGAACAAUAUUGUAUCAACUGACAAAAUCAUAAUAUGAAUGAUAGAUUAGAUAAAUGUUUUGUGUCAAAGUUAAAUUUCCUGAAGUUGAAAACUACAUUAGAAUACAGUCUAAGAGAACGGCCUAGUUUGGGGAAAUAUACAUACAAGUAUUUAAAGGUAUGGGCAUGACACAACUCACUCACAAAUAGCUCUUUAGCUAUUCUUGCCACUUUAACUUUGAAACUACUUCCAAAUGAAAAAAUUAAAAAUUUUAAAAUAUGUAAGAACACUACAAGUAUAGUAACUUUAGUAAAUGGCAUCUGAAUUCUACUUCAUCAGAAUUUUCUGAAUGCAACUUGUCCUUAUUCCCUAACCCUAAAUAGCAAAUGACUUAGAGUGUUCAAUUUUUUUCUUUCCUUAAUAACAUUAUUCAAAUGUGUACGGCUCCUGAUAAGCCAUCCCCUACCACUGUAGAAUUUAACUAAAAUGAGAGCUAAUUCCAAGGCUAUAUACUCUUAUACUCUUUCCACUAUACCAGGUUUCUAUUCCUUCUGUUGAAUGUAUACUAAAAAGACCUAAAUUUUAGUCCUUUUAAAGUUAACAAUUACUUUGUUAUUCCUCACUUUGUGGUUUCAAAAAGACAAAUCAACAUGAUCUAGUCUCAAUGACAGUACAAAUACAGAAACACACUUGGCGGAUACAACUAACUUGUCUGAAUUAUCAAACAAAAAUAAAUAAACAUACAAAAAACUACCUUUCUUUGUUCUACCUAACCAAUUCACAGUUAAGCUGGAAGAUAUUAGAAGACGCUCACUCUUUCUCAAGGGAUGCUGACUUGUCACAUGCUUAAACAAACUCUUUUUCUUACCAUCCUCCAGCUUUUCAACCUCCUGUUUUACGACAUGGAGUUCUUCAUCUUUAACAAAUUUUUCUUCUCUUUCCAUAAUUGGGUUUAGAAUCCCUGCUUCUCCAUGCCUGUCUUGCUUUUGAGAUUCUAAGUCCUAUUAUACGUUAAAAAAAAUGCAAGUUCACAAAUUAUAGAAAAGGGGGGGAACUAAACAACACAGAUUUAUCCAUUAAACAUGAUUACCAACUAAGUUAAAAAUUAAUGCAAAUUUUCAAUUAAUCAAUCAGUAAAUCACAAGUUAUCACUCCUUGAAAAAUUCUUCAAAACCACACAGGAUUAUUUCUGUUAAAAUUGUAAAGAAGCAUUUAUACGACGUAUUAGAACCAGUAUAACUGAAGUAAAGCCAAAACGGUACAUAAAAUUCUGAAGAGACAAGUUUCAGAAGUAUCCUUGCUUUGUGCAUUUUCACCAAAAAUCUGAUUAAUUCAGUCAACCAGAAAUGGCUAUUCGCCAACUAUGUGCAUCAAGUGAGAUGCUGUUGAACUAUAACAUGAGCAGUGACAAUACUAUGUCCAAGCCUCCAAUUAAUAUAAUUUAUAAUAUUCAAAUCAAAUAAAAAUGUUACAAACUUAAAAUUCCUUGUUUCCUAUGGUAAUUUUCAAAUAUAUGGGUGUGUGAUUUUUCUUAAUAAAAGUGAAAUAUCUAUUAUUAGU